rnacentral:rRNA from 1 species
UACGGAGGAUUCGAGCGUUAUCCGAAUUUAUUGGGUUUAAAGGGUGCGUAGGCGGGCGUGCAAGUUAGAGGUGAAAUCCUACAGCUUAACUGUAGAACUGCCUUUAAAACUGCAUGUCUUGAAUUUGGCGGCGGAAGGCGGAAUGAAUAGUGUAGCGGUGAAAUGCAUAGAUAUUAUUCAGAACACCAAUUGCGAAGGCAGCUUUCCAUACCAACAUUGACGCUGAGGCACGAAAGCGUGGGUAGCGAACAGG